CUUUGUCCUCUCCACUACCACAGAAUGUUAGUCCAACUCAACCUGAACCAACAGAUGUAGACCAAGCUGAUCAUUGAACAGAAUUAUCUUGUAAUCAGAACUGUGAUCAGUGAGUAUAUUAAUAUAAUGUCUAAAUUCAUUGAUCUAUUUUGUUACACACAUAAAUUCAUAUUUUGAUUAAUUUCAUAUCGAUUUUAUAGUUUUAUCCCUGAAGUUGGCCCACUAGCUAUUCUCUCAAAAAUUUGGAAGAGACGCUACAAUGAACCUUGGCUUCAGUGGAAUGAUGUUCUAGAAAUAACAUGACGAAUGUGGCUCGAAGAGUUUAGCGUUAGUGUAAUUCUAAUUUUUAAUUAUCAAUUUAAUAUUUUAUAUAUAUUUAUUCUUUUUUAUUUAACUUGUUAUAGAAAAUGUUCAAGUGGCAAGCUGAAGAAAGUAAUCGUAUAUGGAUUACUUGGAAUAAGUCAGGUCAAUGAAGUUUUAGGAGUAAUUUGAAUAAAGUUAACAGCGGUGCUGAUAAGGGUGAUUGGAUGGAUCCGUCCGUGUGAAGGUCAUUACAAGCAAAGUGGAAUGAGGAUGAAUACAAGAAAAAAUCUGAACAAAAUAAAAAGAAUCGCACAUCUGAGAUCGGCGGGUCAGUGCACAUAGGCGGAUCCAUUCCUUUCACCUAGACUCGAAGAAGACUGGCAAAUGAAUUAAAUCGCGAGCCUAACGAAUUUGAAAUUUUCAAGAAAACCCACACUCGAAAAAAUGAUCAAGGACAAGAAGUAUGGGUGGAUCAUAGAUCACAAACUGUCGCAGAAGCGUUCGAGAGAUUAAACGCUGAGGCAUCUUUACAAUCAGCUGAGAGCGAUUCGACCUCUUCACCUGCAGUCAAUGAGCACCACAUCUUUUAUCAAGUUGUCUCUAAUAGAAAUAAGAAAGGUCGUAUCAACGGUCUUGGC